rnacentral:rRNA from 1 species
GAGGAAAAGAAACCAACAGGGAUUGCCUUAGUAGCGGCGAGUGAAGCGGCAAAAGCUCAAAUUUGAAAUCUGGCUCUUUCAGAGUCCGAGUUGUAAUUUGAAGAAGGUAUCUUUGGGUCUGGCUCUUGUCUAUGUUUCUUGGAACAGAACGUCACAGAGGGUGAGAAUCCCGUGCGAUGAGAUGAUCCAGGCCUAUGUAAAGUUCCUUCGAAGAGUCGAGUUGUUUGGGAAUGCAGCUCUAAGUGGGUGGUAAAUUCCAUCUAAAGCUAAAUAUUGGCGAGAGACCGAUAGCGAACAAGUACAGUGAUGGAAAGAUGAAAAGAACUUUGAAAAGAGAGUGAAAAAGUACGUGAAAUUGUUGAAAGGGAAGGGCUUGAGAUCAGACUUGGUAUUUUGUAUGUUACUUCUUCGGGGGUGGCCUCUACAGUUUAUCGGGCCAGCAUCAGUUUGGGCGGUAGGAGAAUUGCGUUGGAAUGUGGCACGGCUUCGGUUGUGUGUUAUAGCCUUCGUCGAUACUGCCAGCCUAGACUGAGGACUGCGGUUUAUACCUAGGAUGUUGGCAUAAUGAUCUUAAGUCGCCCGUCUUGA